AGUCAUGAACGGGAAGAGCAACGGCACGCUCUGCGGCAGGAGUCGCUCACAUACUUCAAAGCAGUGAGUGGUUAGAAAUUCAUGUUCACGUGAUCAGCAUCGGCUCUCCUGCAUCUCUUAUGGGAGAGGCACUUCCCAGGAUUGUUUUAGCUAUGCUCCAGCUGACUGAGGAUUUCUAGAGAACCUGGUGAGCAGGAGGAGGAUUAGAGGACCGACUGACUCUGACUGUGGUGGUUGCAUGCCUGUGACCGUCCACCGACCCCUCUGAGAACAUCUGCACAGCCGCAGAGUUAAACAGACUCCCGGAGUCUCCAAAGCUUCCCACUGUUCUCACGUCGUUGGUAGCAGACGUAGCUUGAUCUAGCUCUAUGUCCCCGCACUUGUGCCCUGGCUGACCUGCCCUUACCUUCCUGUCUUCUAGUUCUCUGGUCCAGCCACAUUUCUUCAGAUGCCCUACUCCUCCCAUCUUGGGAUCCAUAUGCUCAUCACUUUUCCUAGGCAGUCACAGAAAGCCUUUCCUGAGGUUGUUCCCAUUAUCUUACAAGUCUCAGCUUCCUGGCACCCGGGCCAUUCGCUCUAGAGCAACAACCAGCAAUCAAGCAAGCUUAUGCAACCAUCUGCUCCUUUAUAUCUCUGCUUGGAGGCGUUUCUUCCUGCAAAUUCCAUGAAGUGGCCUGUCAUCAUGCCACCAUUGCCAGUCCGUGCUCUCAAAACAAGGAACCACCCACAGCCACAGAACCGUAAUUCAAAGAUUACUGAUAAGGAAGCUCUUAGCUACUGCUCCAUUGCUAUGCUUGCCUGCCUGCCGCCAGGGUGGUCAUAGAUUCUAUCCGUAUGGAAGUGUAAGCCCCA